AUUGAACGCUGGCGGCAGGCUUAACACAUGCAAGUCGAGCGGGGGAAGGUAGCUUGCUACCGGACCUAGCGGCGGACGGGUGAGUAAUGCUUAGGAAUCUGCCUAUUAGUGGGGGACAACAUCUCGAAAGGGAUGCUAAUACCGCAUACGUCCUACGGGAGAAAGCAGGGGAUCUUCGGACCUUGCGCUAAUAGAUGAGCCUAAGUCGGAUUAGCUAGUUGGUGGGGUAAAGGCCUACCAAGGCGACGAUCUGUAGCGGGUCUGGGAGGAUGAUCCGCCACACUGGGACUGGGAAACGGCCCAGACUCCUACGGGAGGCAGCAGUGGGGAAUAUUGGACAAUGGGGGGAACCCUGAUCCAGCCAUGCCGCGUGUGUGAAGAAGGCCUUAUGGUUGUAAAGCACUUUAAGCGAGGAGGAGGCUACUCUAGUUAAUACCUAGGGAUAGUGGACGUUACUCGCAGAAUAAGCACCGGCUAACUCUGUGCCAGCCGCCGCCGUAA
rnacentral:rRNA from 1 species